rnacentral:rRNA from 1 species
UAGGGAAUCUUCCACAAUGGGCGCAAGCCUGAUGGAACAACACCGCGUGAGUGAAGAAGGGUUUCGGCUCGUAAAGCUCUGUUGUUAAAGAAGAACACGUAUGAGAGUAACUGUUCAUACGUUGACGGUAUUUAACCAGAAAGUCACGGCUAACUACGUGCCAG